GAGAGCUCUGAAAAACUUAAGGUGCUCUAUAACCAAGACAAGUCCUUGAGCAGAGAACUGACGACCAAGGCAGAGUGGAGGCUGGGGGUCUGGAAAGAGAGGAGGGGAAAUGAGAUCAACCUUGAGAAGAGGACUGAGCCUGUCUUGCCAGCUGGAGCCCCAGACAUAGUUGGCCUGCAGAAUACUCAAGGCCAAGAAGAACCGGCCGUCAUCAAGGUCAGGGG